UCGACUGGCAGUCAGCGUCGCGACGCCCACGAGCAAGCAGCUUGCGGCAAUUCGACGUCAGGUUAAGCAACACGUGGUUUUGCUCGAGUAGAACGUGGCGGAUACGAGAGUAAUUCUUGGGUUUUUCGAUCGGUCCUUUUUUUAAUUCUGGUCAAAAUGCUAAAUACGAAAAAGUCCUCGUAACGCGCGAACGAUUUCGGAAAAACCGCGUAUAUUAUACGUUAUUUUUCUACGAUGUGGAACAAAUUGUGUCACAGAAGUAGAAGACGAAAAUUGGUAAAAUUACGCGAAAGGAGAUCGGCUUGAGUGACUUUCGCGUGACGUGUUUGCAGACGAAGAGAUAAAUAGUCAAUGCGAUUUUACUUCUUGGCUAUUGCCAUCAUCGGUAACAGCAGGAGCAGCAGCGACAGGAAUUUCCCAUCAGUGAAAUUUACUGCGCUGCAUUUAAAUUCCCAUCCAACUACGUGCAUCUCACUCUGUGAAUACCUUUGCGUUUUAAACGAGAACAAAAGUAUCGAAACAUCUCUGAAUCGAACACAUAGAUUGAUUUUCUACUGUGCAAAACUUGGCUCCAGAUUUACAGAACACCUACUUCCCUAUUAUUCUCCAGUGAAUCUAAUUUAAAGUUUCUCAACUGUGAGAUGUAUUCGUUUGCCAAUGCGGUUUGAAGAAAUCGAGAUGCAAUCCGGUAUAAUUUAUCAAUACGCUUCACUUGUAGUAUAUGGGACGUACAAGUUGAUAAACUCAAUAUGAACGCUAUAGAUUUACAAAUAAAAAAAUUCAAUCACAAAUCAUUUCCCGAUUAUUUGAAAAACGUUCAACAAUAAUCAAUUAUUAUUAUCAUACGCGUGGUGAGCAAUAAACUUCCAUGGUAGCCUCAAAAAUAUUAAUUGUUCCUGUUUUUGAUACUAAUGUCACAGAAUAAAGCUUGCCUGAUGUGGCACAUUUUCAAUUCAUAUUAACGGAGUUUUAUGGAGAGACUCUUGCACGUUGAAUAGGCUAAUUAAAUAAGCUAAUUAAGCAAUUUAUACUAUAUUACGUCCAGGUCAACGAACGGUGGAAUGUGAUUUUGUUCCGGUAAAGUGCACCGUGACGAAAAAGCGGGAUGAGAUUAUAGAUAUCGAAACGAUAGCCAAAUAAAGUAACGCGUUCUCCUGGUUCAAACUCCUUUGUUAAAUAUCGGUGAUCGAUCGUUCGCAAUCUAAAAACCAUUUGAUUUGACAGUUUGUGUGUUGUAGAAUACAGAGGUGAAAAGAGAAGGAAAAGAAAGCAAAAACUCUAGCCGAAGAUUGAGAUCGAUUUUAACCAUGUGUACGUGAAAUGAAAAGCCGGUGAAUAAAAGAAAAAAAAGGGAGAUUCGAAUCGACGAGGCACGCGCGAUAAUGAUAAACAUUCAGUUUGCCGAGCGUAAACCUGUUGAAGAAGAAGUGAGCACGUCGAUGCGCUUCGAGAAGACAAGGGGUCGAGGCGGUUGACGAGGGUAGGCGGAAAGAGAAGGCUUCGAUAAGAAGAGGGCAAAGACGAUCGGAGAUAAAGAAAUAACAACGAUGUCGUGCGAGAAGGCGUCGCGACGCCUCAGAUCCUUAAUAGUUAAGGCGAGGAGACUCGGGGUGACGGCUGAGGAAGUCGCCGCUUUACCUACGGCCAGGAAACUCGCUGCGCCAAAGACGGCGAACUUCUGGUCCGUCGGAUUCGCUCUGAUCACGCUACUCGGUGCCGGCAUCCUCCUUAUCCUUAUCUGCGCCCCUUGCCUGGCGAAGAGGGCGGCGCGCGACGUUCGAGUGUUUCCUUAAUAAACGCCACCCUCGAACCCCGCGCCCUCAACCAGAAGGAGAACUUUGACAAGGUUAGACCGCGCAGAUUUGCCGCAGCUCGAAUUUACGAUGGAAGGUUUUGACAGCCUAAAGGCGUACAGUUCCAAAUCCGAGGAUUAUAAUGGAUUGAAAAUUAAUUAAGUGGACCCGUGACAUUUGAUUUAAGGAAUUAUUUACUCUUGUACUAUACUGACUAAGAAAAUUAUAAUGGGAUUAUAAAUUUAUGGGCUGUGCAAAGCCGGUAUGCGAGUUUAUAAUUUAACUGAAAAAUGUUUGGUACUUUUUGCUUUUCUUCUGCUAUUGUUAUUAUUAUGAGUAUUAUCACCACUAUCGUUAUCAUGUAAAAAAAAAGGAACUGUAAUAAAGACUGUAUGUACGUACGUAACAUAUGUAGAAAACGUAAAAUUUAA